rnacentral:rRNA from 1 species
GGGUUGUGAGGUUAAGCGACUAAGCGUACACGGUGGAUGCCCUGGCAGUCAGAGGCGAUGAAGGACGUGCUAAUCUGCGAUAAGCGCCGGUAAGGUGAUAUGAACCGUUAUAACCGGCGAUUUCCGAAUGGGGAAACCCAGUGUGAUUCGUCACACUAUCAUUAACUGAAUCCAUAGGUUAAUGAGGCGAACCGGGGGAACUGAAACAUCUAAGUACCCCGAGGAAAAGAAAUCAACCGAGAUUCCCCCAGUAGCGGCGAGCGAACGGGGAGGAGCCCAGAGCCUGAAUCAGCAUGUGUGUUAGUGGAAGCGUCUGGAAAGGCGCGCGAUACAGGGUGACAGCCCCGUACACAAAAGCGCAUGUGCUGUGAGCUCGAUGAGUAGGGCGGGACACGUGGUAUCCUGUCUGAAUAUGGGGGGACCAUCCUCCAAGGCUAAAUACUCCUGACUGACCGAUAGUGAACCAGUACCGUGAGGGAAAGGCGAAAAGAACCCCGGCGAGGGGAGUGAAAAAGAACCUGAAACCGUGUACGUACAAGCAGUGGGAGCCCCACCACUAAGCCAGUGGUGAACUCCACAUACGCAUCCUUUGCUGAGGAUACGGUUAACGGAGCGAAAGCGACGUUCAACCGCAAAAGAAGCAGAGGGGGCUUAGUGGU